AUAGGCCAUGAGUGAAAAGAAGCGCUGGAAAUGAAAGAAGCUCUGGAUGAUAAAGGAGAGGCGGACUUCCAAGUUUGUACACUUGGAAAAUCUGUAAGGAUCAAGAAAAACAUGGUAUCUAUCAGUAUGGAAAGAAAGGAGGAACAUCAGACGGAUUUUUAUAACCUUUCAGUCAUCACGCUAUCUUUUGUUACUGGACGAAUAAUCUACUGUCUCUUUGAGCAUUCUUUCUACACAAGACCAAAGCAAAUCAGGGGAUGUACAGCGGAAUGUGUUCCGCUUCCCUCUUCUAGUGGCUCCAAUUAAGUGCACGGUUUUCCCAUUAAUCAAGUCUCAACAGUUUGUUGAAGUGGCCAACCUCAUAGCUAAAUCACUAAAGGCGGCUAAUAUCUCACAUGAAUUAGAUGUUACAGGCAAGUCUAUAGGGAAACGUUAUGCCAUAUCGGAUGAGCUUGGUGUCCCCUACGCCAUAACUGUCGAUUCGACUGCUAGUGUGACCAUGCGUCAGAGGGACAGCAAGGAGCAGAUCCGUGUAAGCAUUGAGGAGGUGGUCUCAGUUGUGAAAAAGUCACGGUUGGGCAAAGCACAUGGGCUGAUGUGCUCUGUAGAUACCCAACCCACGUUGCUACACAUGCUGAUGAGUUGUGAAGCGGCUUCUGACGGAUGAAGUGAUGAAAGCAAUUCCUUAUCUUGCUGAAUUUUCAAACUACUGGAACUUAUUAGGCUAUUAUAUUUGUUAAACGGUUGCACACAAAAUUGUGGUGAUGAUCUAAGAGAGUAAUAUUUUGCU